AACGAACGCUGGCGGCAGGCUUAACACAUGCAAGUCGAACGCCCCGCAAGGGGAGUGGCAGACGGGUGAGUAACACGUGGGAACGUGCCUUUUGGUUCGGAACAACUCCGGGAAACUGGAGCUAAUACCGGAUAAGCCCUUCGGGGGAAAGAUUUAUCGACAAAAGAUCGGCGCGAGUCUGAUUGGAUAGUUGGCGGGGUAAUUGCCCACCAAGGCGACGAUCAGUAGCUGGUCUGGGAGGAUGGCCAGCCACACUGGGACUGAGACACGGCCCAGACUCCUACGGGAGGCAGCAGUGGGGAAUAUUGGACAAUGGGCGCAAGUCUGAUCCAGCCAUGCCGCGUGAGUGAUGAAGGCCUUAGGGUUGUAAAGCUCUUUCGCCGAGGACGAUAAUGACGGUACUCGGAUAAGAAGCCCCGGCUAACUUCGUGCCAGCAGCCGCCGUAA
rnacentral:rRNA from 1 species